UCCACUGAAAUACUGAUCUAGCAGUCAGAGGCUGAGCUGGGCUCGUGUAGAUUGGGAGCAUCCCUGAGGAGCUCUGAUGGAGCAGAUCAGCAGAGCUGAGUCUCAUUGAGAUGGGGAAAGCCAGGAUGCUUCAGAGACCAUAAAAUAGAGCUGCUAUUUCAGGAAAGGGAGAAUGUUUGGUCUAGCCAGUGGUUGCCUCUAAAAAUACUUCAAAUAUCAAAAACAGGACAGGCUAUAUGCAUAUUUACCAAAAGGAGAAAAUGAACCACCAGGCAUCUUGCCUUUCAGAACAUUUCACUGGAGGUGAAAAACAUUGUUAUUCUCCAUGUCUGUCAAAAUUUUCCAUGACAAAACUUGAUUGGAAUAAGCAACUGUGAGCCCAAAAGUGCAUCCAGACCUGGAAGCAGAUGUGUGGGGAUAGGUCUGAUGCAGAGGUUUCUGCUUUUCCCUUCUGCUGUCAGGCUGUUGCUUCCAAUUUUCUGGAAGGGGAUUGAGGAACAAAGCACGUCCAUGAGCAGAGGCCACAGUAACUGCCCAGAGCAAAGAGCUCGAUUGUGAGGCACCAAAAUGAGUGCUCAUAAAAAUGGACAGGUCUGUGCUUUGAGCCAGAGCUGUUUGGUAUGAUCAAACAAUGCCCUCGAAUAGGGAAAAAAAUAAAAGUAUUCCUGACUGAAGAGCCUGUACUCAUGGCAGAAUCGAGCACUCCUGAAAGAGGGAUUGGAUGUGAACAUGACAGUGAAGAUCAGAACCUUCACCACAUCCACCCAGUGCAGGCAAGGAAUGUAGGGAAAAUGAUUAUGGAAUUUCCAUCAAAACCAAAUCUUAGUGACUUAGGGGUUUUUUGUUUGUUUGUUUGUUUUGCUUGUGGGUUUUUUUUUGUUCUUCAAGCUGAUGAAAUAGUGCUUCAAAGUGAUUGGUUUUUUUCAAGGUAGUAAGUGUGGUUUUUGUAAAAUGACAAAUUUCAUCAGGAUCAAAAGAGUUUUCAAACAACACAGCAAAGUCGUCUAGAAGAGUUUUACCUUUUGGUCAAGAAGUUAAAGCAAGCACAACGUUUUACAGCUUGCUUUUUCCUGGGAAUUUGGUGGUGAAUAGUCCACAUUAGGAAUCCAAACCUUACCCUUCUGCAGCAGUGUAAAUACCACUGGAACAGGGCACUCUUUUAAGUUGGGACAUUUUUAUUUUUGGCUCUUCUUCCUCAUGAAAGCCAGGCUGUGUAAGCCUCAGUAACAUGCAUAUGAUCACAGUAUAAUGACAUUUCUCGUGCUCCUUGCUGUUCUGGAGUCAGCUGGUGGAGCCUGGAUGGGGAGUGGAUUUAUCCACGUGGCUACU